CCCUCUCCUGGAUCAGCCCCUCCGGUCUCCCUCUGCUGGUUCUAUUCCUGGAUGCGCCCCUUCGCUGUACUCCUCUGCAAGUAAUUUCUCCCUUCUCUCCUUCCCUUCUUGGGUUUGAUUUUCUCCCCCACCCUCUAUCUUAUUUUCGUUUUGCCUGUUUCAACUUCAAGAUCCUUAGGUCUGAGCUACAAUGUCUAGGCCGUUGGAGAUAUCUCAAGUAAUGUGUUCAGCAGCAGCAGCAGCUGCAGCUCAACCUGAUGAGCAUUGCAGCCCAUCGAAGGAUCCUGCGAGGAAGGCAACUUGGAGAAAGGACCCAGCAUGGAAAUAUGCAGAAACAUGCUUUCUGGCCUGAUCUGCAGGAUAAACUGACGCUCCAAUGCAUACUAUACUGUACUAUGUAGUAUAUACUACAUACUAGGUAUUAGUAAUUGAGUACCAAAUUACCAUGUCGACUACAAGUGGUAGUCUCCACAAUAAACUUACCGGAGGAAGGAUAUCACUCCAUGAUAACUCCAGAAUGGUGC
rnacentral:lncRNA from 1 species